ACAUCUUAUCGAGAUUAUACAGAAAAAUUAAACUGCUAAGGAUUCAUUAUUAUUCGUUGGGUACAAGUUUUUGUGAGAUUUCGUUGGUAUAGAUAUACCACAAAUUACAGUUAUGAGGCAGCAAUUCAUCUGCAAAAUAGAUUUAAGGACAGUUCCAUAUGAAUAAUAGUAAAUGUCUGUCAUACGUUUUCGAGACAGCAACUCAUCGAAAAAAAGUAUAUUAUGACAGUUCCGUAUAAAUAAAAGGAGAUAUCAGAGAACAUUCCGACUUAAUAUCAAAGACAGUUUAAUUUGAAGAUGUCUGUUAAAAAGUUCAGUAUAAAUAAGCAAGGAAAUGCGUUACACGUAAACGAGACAACAACAUAAUGACAAAAUUAACAUAACAACUUUCAAUUUAAGUAAAGAAGAUGUUGGUAUUACGUACAUGAGGCAGUUAGGCAAUGUCACAAUAAUUAGAAUAAUCAAUUCGCUUCAAAUACGUUAUAUGAUUAUCAAUAAGGAUAUUCGGUCAUGAUUAUCAAUACGGAGCUUUUGUCAUGAUUAUCAAUAAGGAGAUCCGGACAUGAUAGUCAAUAAGGAGAUCCGGACAUGAUUAUCAAUAAGGAGAUUCGGGAUGAUUAUCAAUAAGGAGAUUUGGACAUGAUUGUCAAUAAGGAGAUUUGUUCAUGAUUGUCAAUAAGGAGAUUCGGUCCCGACUGUCAAUAAGGAGAUUCGGAAUGAUAAUCAAUAAUGACAUUUAGACAUAAUUGUCAAUAAGGAGAUUUGGACAUGAUUGUCAAUAAGGAUAUUCGGUCCCGAUUGUCAAUAAGGAGAUUCGGUCCCGACUGUCAAUUAGGAGAUUCGGAAUGAUAAUCAAUAAUGACAUUUAGACAUAAUGGUCAAUAAGGAAAUUUGGACAUGCUUGUCAAUAAGGAGAUUCGGUCCCGACUGUCAAUAAGGAGAUUCGGUCCCGAUUGUCAAUAAGGAGAUUCGGGAUGAUUAUCAAUAAGGAGAUUUAGAAUGAUUGUCAAUAAGGAAAUUCGGUCAUGUUUGUCAAUAGGGAAAUUCGGUCCGGAUUGGCAAUAAGAAGAUUCGAUCCCGAUUCUCAAUAAGGAAGAUAAAGAAAAUGUUGGUUUUACGUAUAUGAAUAUGUUAGACAGUGUGAAAAUAAGAAAAAAAAUCAAUACGCAUUAAAUAAGUUGAAUGAUUAUCAAUAAGGAGAUUCGGACAUGAUUGUUGAUAACACAGGGAUAAGGAAAUUUGGUCAUGAUUAUUAAUAAGGAAAUUUGGACAUGAUUGUGAAUAAUAAGGUCGGUCAUGAUUGUCAACUACGAAAUUCGGUCAUGAUUUACAAUAAAGAGAUUCGGACAUAAUUGUCAAUAAGGAAAUUCGGUCAUGGUUAUCAAUAAGGAGAUUUGGACAUUAUUGUCAAUAAGGCGAUUAUGUCAUGAUUGUCAAUAAGGAGAUUCGGCCCCGAUUGUCAUUAAGGAGAUUCGGGAUGAUUAUCAAUAAGGACAUUUGGACAUGAUUGUCAAUAAGGAGAUUUGGACAUGAUUGUCAAUAAGGAGGUCGGCCAUGAGUGUCAAUAAGGAGAUUUGGGAUGAUUAUCAAUAAGGAGAUUAAGACAUGAUUGUCAAUAAGGAGAUUUGGACAUGAUUGUCACUAAGGAGAUUAUGUCUUGAUUGUCCAUAGGGAAAUUCGGUCUUGAUUGUCUAAAAGGAGAUUUGGAUAGAAUUGUCAAUAAGAAGAGUCGGUCAUGAUUGUCAAUAAGGAGAUUCAGGAUUAUUAUCAAUAAGGAGAUUUGAACAUGAUUGUCAAUAAGGAGGUCGGUCAUGAAUGUUUAUUAGGAAAUUCGGUCAUGAUUUUCAAUAAAGAGAUUCGGUCAUGGUUAUCUAUAAGGAGAUUUAC
rnacentral:lncRNA from 1 species